UUUUUUGCAAGCGGAGCUCCUGGAUCAGAGCCAGGACACGAAGGGUCUGGAAACAAAUCCAAGGCAGGCGACAUUCCGACUUCCGAGCGAUGGUGGCGACGCAAGCAAGAAGAGAGGGUGCCGGGUUUCGAGUCAUUUCUUGGUCCCGGUGUUCAUGGUAGAUGGGCGGUGCCGUGGUUGGGGGAGGGGCCUAGGGGCGCGGGGGGCACCGGUCACUGGAGAUGGCGGCGAGCAUCGUGCCGACUGUCGAGUGCUUGGUGUCCGGGACAAGCGCCGGCAACUGAUAUGCAUGAUGGAUAAUUUAUUGAUCUGGAUAAUUGUGUCCAUUGCAUCUGAGGACGCGAUCGAUCGAUCGACUGGGUAUUUGCAGAACUUACAAAGGUGCCCACAACAACGUUCAGAACAGUGAAGAACAAACAAGAAGAGAUCAAUUUCUAUGAUCGUUGACAUGUAACUAAACCAAAACUACUUCCUGAGAAUCUGCACACAAGAUUGUCCCUGCUCUAGUAAGAGUCAGCGAGGACGAGCCUCCCCCAUCCUAGGUGCUAGUGUCUGGCCCAUUUUUUCAGGUACCGUCCAAGAACCUAAAGAAAUUGAAUUAUAUGACCUGUGUAACUAGCUUUAGUAAUAAGUAUUCAUUAUUCCUCUUGAUACUACUUUUAGCUUUGCUAUGGACAUGAGCAAUAGAGAUCACAUUAGGAGGAGGAAGUAGGAUGAUUGCGGCCUCUUCCUUUUGAU